ACAAGUCCCAGUCCGUGCCUCCAGCCCCCACCUCUCCGAAAAUCACAAAGCACCGCUCGGUAUCUUCGCCGCCGCCGCCGCCGCCGCCGCUCACCCUAUUGGCUUCACGCGACAAGGCGGUCGCCUCCGCUCACAUGCUGCCGCCGGCUUGUGAUAACUCCUCCACAGGUCAGCCAGUACGAAGUGUGGAAGAAGGGGAAAAUCUGAAGGAGAUCAGAAGAGAGAAUUCAGAGACAUGCAUAUCAAAUUUCAAAAGUAAAUUGUCCAUGGUGGCGAAUUGUGAACAAGUUAUGAGGACUGCUAACAUGCAAAGCGCUGAUGUUAGAGUUCAGACUGUUGUUGAAUUGUUCAAGAAAGUAUAUCAAGAUCUACCGCCGAGGUUGCAGGAAAAAUUGCGAGCCGAUCUCAAUGCUGGCAUCUUUAAGCAUGCUGAAGAAAAAUAUGGGCUGCCUAAAUCAAAAGAAACUACUACCAAAAAGCUUGGCGGUUGGACUAUAGGCAGUAUAGUUCUACCAGUCGUCUUGGGCUUUUUGAUGUUCAUCAUAAGCCUAUAUUUUUACUGAUGCUAAACAGAGAAAGGGGAUUCCAAGACGUUGAUGGGUUAUGUGGUCAUCUUAUGCAUAUUACUUACUGGAUUUAAACUUGUUUUUAUUUUAUGACAAGAAAGACCAGUCCUUAGUAAAGCACAAGUUUGGGUUCAUUGAUGUGAAAAAGAAUCCACAUUAUGCAUGUAGAAAAAAUGUUAUCUUCGAAACCCUCUACAUAAAUGGGAAGUCAUGUUUGUGCCGUUAAAUCUUAUGUACUGCCUUCAAAUAUACGAGUAUCUAUUGUUCGCCUUGUUAAACCCUGAGCACGAAACAUCAAAUUACGCACUCACAGUUCAGUAUUCACUUGUUUUUCUCUUGAACAUAUUCACUUUAUAUUUUUAGCAUGGGGUACUCACAGUCUCAUACUUUCGUCUGCUUGCUACUGAUAAAAUGGUGUCGAGCUCUUGAAGACCUCCUGACAGGCUCUUAAGAAACAGAAUACAAUGCGCAAUUGCAAACUUACAUCAUGGGCAUUAGGAGUACAUGCAGUGUAUGGUAAAGAUUACUUUCAGCUUUUUGUCCAUUUGGUAAGUUACUCUUCUACUUGCUUUGUUCUAUUUCUGCCAUUACUUCUACUUGCUUUGUUCCGUUUCUGCCAUGAGCCCAUGAUGUUUUGUCUCUUGCUUUGUUCUGUUUCUUCCAUGAACACCAAGAUGUGUUUGUGCAAAUGGUGAGUUGGGACUUCCAACUUCCAGGUGCUUCACCAUGAACUAAAAGCCUGGGUCAAGCAGGGGUAAAACUCUCUUCAAAUAAUAUGGUUGUAUCAUAUUGUAAAAUACCAGAGAAGUUACAGGCUUGCUCUGUCCUGUUGAUAUGUUUCUGCACUGGGACGGAUUGUUAAGAAUAUCUAAAAGGCCUGCAAAUUUCAUUGGAAGUUUGAGACUGCUACUAGCCAUGUUUUCUUUCCCACAUCACAUGUUUGUAGGGAGAGUAAGGCGUCGUAUGGAACUUGUAACAUAGUUACCAGAAGUGUGUGGCUCAUAGGAUUGGCAUGUUACAUCUCCUCUGAAACUCAGAUGUAAACUCUGAUGCAUAGUUAUAGGCUUUAAAAAAAUACUAACCCUUAUAUGAAGUUAUUAAUUUAGAGGUCUGGAGCAUAUUUAUAUCCCUGCAGUUUGUCAGGUAGAAGUGCCCCCUGGAUAUGUCUUCCUCUGGCUUCUAUCCCACAACGAGCAACUUAUUCAUGAAUUGCGACUCCCUCACUAACUGACCAUGCCUGCAUCCUGUGCUCGGAACCUGAAACAGCUCACCAUGUGUUCUUUGCCUGUGACAUUAGCAAGUUGUCGCGGGCUGGUAGUUCUCUAUGAUUAGUACAACAGUAGGCUCUGAUUUGGAUCUGUUGCGAAGCUAUGGCUGUUUAAUUAGAAACAUGGUUUGGCAAAUGUGGGAACAUCUGCGGUGACGUGGGAUAUCUGGAUAUUGGUUCGAUUUACAUAUCUUGUGGCAGAAGUUGUUCCGCUUGCUACAGCACUGGCGAUGGCUAUGCCCGGCGACGGCGUUAACUUUCCCAGGCCUGAACCAGCUCCUUCCUUGCUCGGAUACCAGGAUCAUGGAGGCUGAAGAAUCUAUCAUCUGCCUGAUAACCCCUGAAGCUUGGAUCAAGUUGCCAGUGCACUAAACCGUUUCUCAGUCUGAUUUGAAGGCCAUUAUGUACUGCCAAUGCUAUUGCAUGUAUGGGAAUCUGGGAAUCAUAAUAGAAAGUGUAAUUUUUUCUAUGCUUUCUUAGUUUAAAAUGUACAGCCCGGUGAAGAAUAUCUAAGCACAUCAUGUGGCCUUCAGAUGCGUAA